UACGUAGGGGGCAAGCGUUGUCCGGAUUUAUUGGGCGUAAAGAGCGUGUAGGCGGUUUGGUAGGUCCGCUGUGAAAACUCGAGCUCAACCUCGAGACGCCGGUGGAAACCAUCAGACUAGAGUCCGGAAGAGGAGAGUGGAAUUCCUGGUGUAGCGGUGAAAUGCGCAGAUAUCAGGAAGAACACCCGUGGCUAAGGCGGCUCUCUAGUACGGUACUGACGCUGAGACGCGAAAAGCGUGGGGAGCAAACAGG
rnacentral:rRNA from 1 species